rnacentral:rRNA from 1 species
CCAGACUCCUACGGGAGGCAGCAGUGGGGAAUAUUGCACAAUGGGGGGAACCCUGAUGCAGCAAUGCCGCGUGGGUGAAGAAGCACUCCGGUGCGUAAAGCCCUGUCAGCAGGGAAGAAAAUGACAGUACCUGACCAAGAAGCCCCGGCUAACUACGUGCCAGCAGCCGCGGUAAUACGUAGGGGGCAAGCGUUAUCCGGAUUUACUGGGUGUAAAGGGAGCGCAGGCGGUAUGGCAAGUCAGAUGUGAAAACCAUGGGCUCAACCUGUGGCCUGCAUUUGAAACUGUAGUCCUUGAGUACUGGAGAGGCAGACGGAAUUCCUAGUGUAGCGGUGAAAUGCGUAGAUAUUAGGAGGAACACCAGUGGCGAAGGCGGCUUACUGGACUGUAACUGACGUUGAGGCUCGAAAGCGUGGGGAGCAAACAGGAUUAGAUACCCUCGUAU